rnacentral:rRNA from 1 species
AGUGAACGCUGGCGGCGGGCCUAAUACAUGCAAGUCGAGCGAACGCACGAGAAGAUUGUUUCUCUGAUGUUAGCGAGGGACGGGUGGGUAACGCGUAGAUAACCUACCUUUAUGACUGGGAUAAUCUCGGGAAACCGUAGCCAAUACCGGCUAAUACUAUCAACGGCAGGGUUCAGAAGUUAAAGGCGGUCUUGCCGGCACUGUUAGAUGGAUCCGCUCUGCAUUAGCUAGUUGGUGAGGUAACGGCUUACCAAGGCAACGAUGCAUAGCCGACCUGAGAGGAUGAUCAGCCACACUGGAACUGAGACACGGUCCAGACUCCUACGGGAGGCAGCAGUAGGGAAUCUUGCGCAAUGGGCGCAGGCCUGACGGAGCCACGCCGCGUGAGUGAUGAAGGCCUUCGGAUUGUAAAACUCUGUUAUUAGGGAAGAACAUAUGUGUGAGAAACUCUUCACAUCCUGACGGUACCCAAUCAGAAAGCCACGGCUAACUCCGUG